CCCUGAGUGAUGAAGGCCUUCGGGUUGUAAAUCUCUUUCCUCGGGGAAGAUAAUGACGGUACCUGAAGAAUCAAGCCCCGGCUAACUACGUGCCAGCAGCCGCGGUAAUACGUAGGGUGCAAGCGUUGUCCGGAAUUACUGGGCGUAAAGCGUGCGUAGGCGGUUAUUUAAGUCAGAUGUGAAAUCCCCGGGCUCAACCCGGGAACUGCAUUUGAUACUGGCUGUCUAGAGUGCGGUAGAGGAGAGUGGAAUUCCUAGUGUAGCGGUGAAAUGCGCAGAUAUCAGGAGGAACACCACUGGCGAAGG
rnacentral:rRNA from 1 species